rnacentral:rRNA from 1 species
UCCUACGGGAGGCAGCAGUAGGGAAUCUUCCGCAAUGGACGAAAGUCUGACGGAGCAACGCCGCGUGAGUGAUGAAGGCUUUCGGGUCGUAAAACUCUGUUGUUAGGGAAGAACAAGUGCUAGUUGAAUAAGCUGGCACCUUGACGGUACCUAACCAGAAAGCCACGGCUAACUACGUGCCAGCAGCCGCGGUAAUACGUAGGUGGCAAGCGUUAUCCGGAAUUAUUGGGCGUAAAGCGCGCGCAGGUGGUUUCUUAAGUCUGAUGUGAAAGCCCACGGCUCAACCGUGGAGGGUCAUUGGAAACUGGGAGACUUGAGUGCAGAAGAGGAAAGUGGAAUUCCAUGUGUAGCGGUGAAAUGCGUAGAGAUAUGGAGGAACACCAGUGGCGAAGGCGACUUUCUGGUCUGUAACUGACGCUGAGGCGCGAAAGCGUGGGGAGCAAACAGGAUUAGAUACCCUGGUAGUCCACGCCGUAAACGAUGAGUGCUAAGUGUUAGAGGGUUUCCGCCCUUUAGUGCUGAAGUUAACGCAUUAAGCACUCCGCCUGGGGAGUACGGCCGCAAGGCUGAAACUCAAAGGAAUUGACGGA